rnacentral:rRNA from 1 species
AGUGAACGCUGGCGGUAGGCCUAACACAUGCAAGUCGAACGGCAGCACAGUAAGAGCUUGCUCUUACGGGUGGCGAGUGGCGGACGGGUGAGGAAUACAUCGGAAUCUACUUUUUCGUGGGGGAUAACGUAGGGGAACUUACGCUAAUACCGCAUACGACCUACGGGUGAAAGCAGGGGAUCUUCGGACCUUGCGCGAUUGAAUGAGCCGAUGUCGGAUUAGCUAGUUGGCGGGGUAAAGGCCCACCAAGGCGACGAUCCGUAGCUGGUCUGAGAGGAUGAUCAGCCACACUGGAACUGAGACACGGUCCAGACUCCUACGGGAGGCAGCAGUGGGGAAUAUUGGACAAUGGGCGCAAGCCUGAUCCAGCCAUACCGCGUGGGUGAAGAAGGCCUUCGGGUUGUAAAGCCCUUUUGUUGGGAAAGAAAAGCAGCAGGUUAAUACCCCGCUGUUCUGACGGUACCCAAAGAAUAAGCACCGGCUAAUUUCGUG